GCUCAGUCCUCUCUCUCUCUCGCUCAGCGGCUCAGUUGUUGUCGCUCUCUCUCUCUGUUAUACAUAUCACUUUGUCUCAGCGGCUCAGAACCAGAUCGGAACCGGCGGCUUCAGCUUCUUCAUCGCUCAGUAGCUCUUGCUCUCUCUUUCUCUCUGCGCGCGCGGCUGCUCUGAAGACUGAAACCAGAUCUUUCCGAACCAAAAGAAAACCCCCAAAGCCUUCUCUCUCAGCCUCUCUCACAUCUAGCCCUAAAUCGCUCUUCGUUGGUAUGAAAUUUCAACCCUUUCAAACUUUAAUUGAUACGUUUGAUUUGCAAUUCGCAGUUUUCAACGGAGGAAGAUGAACAAAAUCUCGACAAUUAAUUCUUCCUGUUCUAAUUUUCUCUCCUGGGCCAUUUGAUUAUAUGGCUUUGAAAGUGGGUAUCUUGGUUUUGCAUCAUGGAUUGAGAUAAGCAUACAAAAUCAGCACUGUCUGGGACAAAAUAUGGCUUGAAGCAGACACGUGGAAAGUUUGGUCUAGGUGCAAAGAUGGCAUUAAUUUGGUCGAAGAUGAGUACAGGGCUUCCUAUAGAUAUCUCUUCAUCAAUGAAGGGCCUAAGUUAUAAUUCUUUCUGCAGACUGGAUAUAGAUAUUCAUCGGUAUGACUUAAAUAUGGUACACGGUCCUGAAUAUUAUAUCUAUCACAUAGGUCCGUAUGUGGUUGUACUGUUUAUACCAUUGUACCAUUUAUUUGUACCAGGGAUCUCUGAUGAUUUUGACUUUGGCAGUAAAGGAAUAUAGUUUAAGCUCUUGUUGACUAUUAUAUGGUGUUUCUUUCAACUUUCAGGAACAUUCCUCAUGUUCAUAUACAUGAAAAACUGGAAAACAAGGAUAGGUGGCAUGGUGCUGAAAUCCAAGUUGUUAUUGAGGGAAAUUGGACAACUUACCGUGUAAAGUGACUCGGUCACCAGCUCGAUUAUCCUCUAUGUAUUCUGUGAAGUGCAGUUGUUGGUUUGAUAUCCACAUGAACAUUGAUAAAUUCCCUCUGGUGAAAUAUCCUGUGCUGGUAAUACAUGGUUAUGUGAACAAUUUGAUGCAAGGGAGAAGUAACAGCAGUCAAUGGAGGAGUUUGUGUAAAUUGUUCAGCAGCAUUGGGAGUCAGUACAAAUCGUCUCGGACAGGAAAUCUGUGGCUAAAGAUCAAUAG